GACGAACGCUGGCGGCGUGCUUAACACAUGCAAGUCGAACGGAAAGGCCCUGCUUUUGUGGGGUGCUCGAGUGGCGAACGGGUGAGUAACACGUGAGUAACCUGCCCUUGACUUUGGGAUAACUUCAGGAAACUGGGGCUAAUACCGGAUAGGAGCUCCUGCUGCAUGGUGGGGGUUGGAAAGUUUCGGCGGUUGGGGAUGGACUCGCGGCUUAUCAGCUUGUUGGUGGGGUAGUGGCUUACCAAGGCUUUGACGGGUAGCCGGCCUGAGCGGGGGACCGGCCACAUUGGGACUGAGAUACGGCCCAGACUCCUACGGGAGGCAGCAGGGGGGAAUAUUGCACAAUGGGCGGAAGCCUGAGGCAGCAACGCCGCGUGCGGGAUGACGGCCUUUGGGGUGUAAACCGCUUUCGCCUGUGACGAAGCGUGAGUGACGGUAAUGGGUAAAGAAGCACCGGCUAACUACGUG
rnacentral:rRNA from 1 species